rnacentral:pre_miRNA from 1 species
CAGGGUGACCAACUGGUCCUGGUUUACUAGGGACUUUCCAAGUUCUAACACUGAAAGUCCCUUGUCCCAGGAGCCCCCUAAGUCCUGGGUAAACCAGGACAGUUGGUCACCCUAUAAACCA